CCACGUUGACUCAGACUGGAAUGGCAAUAUCAGGUUUGAGCUUCUGCUGUUCCACAGAAAACUUAGGAAGGACUCAACUGACCUCCAACUAGAUUUCAGAACAGUCUGUUCCCUAAAGUGAAAUUUGGGUGAAGAGCCAGUUUUGUAGGAAGGCUGAAAAUGAUCAGGCCCAUUCCAGAAGUUACAAGAACACUCCAAGGUGAGGGUGUGAGGAACACCACCCCACUGAAGACCCUAAAAGGAGAACAGAGAGAGGAUAUCAAGGCUCCAGUAUGGACCUGGGAUUGAUGUUUUUGUACUGGGGUCAGGAUCACAUCUUUAUCUGCAUGUAUGGGGAGGUGAUUCCUACUGUCAGUCAUCAAGUGAAGAGGUGGAUCUGUCCAACCAAAACACAAUCUGCAGAUGUCUUGGCUUAGUUUUACAAGUUCCAUGCUGGCUGCCAGGAGCCAGCUUUUCCUCCUUUAGAGCUCUGACCCAAGGAUGGAGAGAAAAAUCUUGUUUUCAGUUUAACCCUUCUGAAGACUCCAAUGAUGCUAAGCGAAAACAAGAGAGAAACGACCAAAGAGACUAUACAAUGUUGAUUGAUUUUUGACAAGGCUGUGAACACAAUGGGGAAAGAACAGUCUCUUCAAAAAAAAUGGUGUAGGGAAAAUUGGAUAUCCCUAUGCAGGAGAAUGAAAUGAAACCUUUUUCUCACACCAAAUACAAAAAUCAACUAAAAAUGAAUUAAAGACUUAAAACUUAAGGACUGAAACUAUAAAACUACUAUAACAUAGGGGAAACUCCAUGACAUUGUUCUGGGCAAUGAUUUUUUUGAAGAUGACCCCAAAGCACAGGCAACUAAAGCAAAAAUAGACAAACAGAAUUACAUCAAACUAUAAAUCUUCUCUACAGCAAAGAAAACAAUCAACAGAGUGAAGACAAAAGCUAGCACGUUGGAGAAAAUAUUUGCAAACCAUACAUUUGUUAGGGCAUUAAUAUCCAAAAUAUGUAAGGAAUUCAAACAAUUCAAUAGCAAGAAAACAACCCAAUUUAAAAAUGGGCAGAGCAUCUGAAUAAACAUUUCUCAAAGAAGAGAUACAAAUGGCCAAGUAGAUGAAAAAAAGUUCAGCAUCAUUAAUCAUCAGGGAAAUGCAAAUUAAAGCCACGACGAGAUACCAUCCCACACCUGUAAAAAUGGCUAUUAUAAAAAAGAUGAAAAAUAACAAGUGUUGGCAAUGAUGUGGAGAAAAGGGAACCUUUGUUGAUGGGAAUGUAAAUUAGUACAGUCAUUACGAAAACCAGUGCAGAAGUCCUCAAAAAAUUAAAAAUAGGACUAUUUUUAGCAGUCUCACUACUGAGUAUAUGUCCAACGAAAAUGAAAUCUGUACGUUGAAGAGAGAUCUGCGCUCCCAUGUUCACUCCAGCAUUAUUCACAAUUGUCGAGAUACAGAAUCAUUCCUAGUGUCCAUUCAUGAAUGAAUGGUUAAUCUC